UUGAAGAUGGCUUGCCUUUCUACCGUAUGAAGCUCUGGUUUAGAUGGUCCUCUUUUAGUUACGUGUGCAUCUCCCGGGGACGCUCCGAUGCGAUCCUGUUGAUACUCAGUCUCUCAACAGCUAGUAAAGCUAAAAAGCUCUGCCUCGCCCCCGUCUGCUUUCUUUCUCCUGCUCAUUCCAAGGUGCUGCGUGUUUAGUCUCCUCAUCGUGAUCUAAGGGCGCUAGUAGGUUAGCUCUGUUCUAAGGUUG
rnacentral:misc_RNA from 1 species